rnacentral:lncRNA from 1 species
UGCAACUUUUCUUAGUUUCUGUUUGCUCAAUUGAAUUUACACAGUUACAUCGUGUGUUUGGUUCCCUCAGGGUCCCAUCGCGUUGAGCCAGUAGGAGGAAGCGGGUGUGGCUCCAGUUUUGCAGUGUAAGACCUCAACCAAUGACAUCAAAGCAAAGAGAGAUAGCUGCAGCCUUAACUGAUACACAACGUCAGUCUGCAGAGUCGACCUGGAGUUGAGGCCUUUGGCACCGGUGCUUGGAAACA